rnacentral:misc_RNA from 1 species
UCAAACUUGGUCAUUUAGAGGAAGUAAAAGUCGUAACAAGGUAACCGUAGGUGAACCUGCGGUUGGAUCAUUUAUAUAUUGAACUAUGAGUAGUUUUUGAGAGUGUAUUGUAUACUUAUAUACAUAUACUCCAAAACCUCAUAAUCAACCCCCACGUUGCACUAUAAAACAAACAAAACUUCCCCCUUAUAGAAUUACAUACGUACAGGGUGCGUAUGUAACCCCGAGUAUUAAUGAUAUGCCAGGGGAGGGGGGAGAUUCAAUUACAAACAAACAUCAAAUCUAUUUAAAGCCAUAAUACCAAAUCUUCUUAAUUGAAGUAUUAUAAACAAUUACAACUUUUGACAACGGAUCUCUAGGCUCUCGCAUCGAUGAAGAACGCAGC